GACGAACGCUGGCGGCGUGCUUAACACAUGCAAGUCGAACGGAAAGGCCCUGCUUUUGUGGGGUGCUCGAGUGGCGAACGGGUGAGUAACACGUGAGUAACCUGCCCUUGACUUUGGGAUAACUUCAGGAAACUGGGGCUAAUACCGGAUAGGAUCUCCUGCUGCAUGGUGGGGGUUGGAAAGUUUCGGCGGUUGUGGAUGGACUCGCGGCUUAUCAGCUUGUUGGUGUGGUAGUGGCUUACCAAGGCUUUGACGGGUAGCCGGCCUGAGAGGGUGGCCGGCCACCUUGGGACUGCGGUACGCCCCAGAAUCCAACGGGAGGCAGCAGUGGGGAGUAUUGCACAGUGGGCGGAAGCCUGAUGCAGCAACGCCGCGUGCGGGAUACCGGCCUUCGGGUUGUAAACCGCUUUCGCCUGUGACGAAGCGUGAGUGACGGUAAUGGGUAAAGAAGCACCGGCUAACUACGUG
rnacentral:rRNA from 1 species